AGCUGGGUGACCUAGUGGAAAGAGCUCAGGUCCGGGAGUCAGAGAAUGUGGGUUCUAAUCCCACCUCUGCUA
rnacentral:tRNA from 1 species